GUAGGUGGCAAGCGUUGUCCGGGAAUUAUUGGGGCGUAAAGCGCGCGCAGGCGGUUCUUUAAGUCUGAUGUGAAAGCCCACGGGCUCAACCGUGGAGGGUCAUUGGAAACUGGAGAACUUGAGUACAGAAGAGGAAAGCGGAAUUCCACGUGUAGCGGUGAAAUGCGUAGAGAUGUGGAGGAACACCAGUGGCGAAGGCGGCUUUCUGGUCUGUAACUGACGCUGAGGCGCGAAAGCGUGGGGAGCAAACAGGAUUAGAUACCCUGGUAGUCCACGCCGUAAACGAUGAGCGCUAAGUGUUAGGGGGUUUCCGCCCCUUAGUGCUGCAGCUAACGCAUUAAGCACUCCGCCUGGGGAGUACGGCCGCAAAGGCUGA
rnacentral:rRNA from 1 species